AACCCAGACUCCUACGGGAGGCAGCAGUGGGGAAUAUUGCACAAUGGGGGAAACCCUGAUGCAGCGACGCCGCGUGAGUGAAGAAGUAUUUCGGUAUGUAAAGCUCUAUCAGCAGGGAAGAUAAUGACGGUACCUGAGUAAGAAGCCCCGGCUAACUACGUGCCAGCAGCCGCGGUAAUACGUAGGGGGCAAGCGUUAUCCGGAUUUACUGGGUGUAAAGGGAGCGUAGACGGCAUGGCAAGUCUGAAGUGAAAGCCCGGGGCUCAACCGCGGGACUGCUUUGGAAACUGUUAAGCUGGAGUGCAGGAGAGGUAAGUGGAAUUCCUAGUGUAGCGGUGAAAUGCGUAGAUAUUAGGAGGAACACCAGUGGCGAAGGCGGCCUGCUGGGCUUUAACUGACGCUGAGGCUCGAAAGCGUGGGGAGCAAACAGGAUUAGAUACCCCCGUACC
rnacentral:rRNA from 1 species